rnacentral:rRNA from 1 species
AACCCGGUGGGAACUAAGCAUAUCAAUAAGCGGAGGAAAAGAAACCAACAGGGAUUGCCCUAGUAACGGCGAGUGAAGCGGCAACAGCUCAAAUUUGAAAUCUGGCUCUCGGGCCCGAGUUGUAAUUUGUAGAGGAUGCUUUUGAUGCGGUGCCUUCCGAGUUCCCUGGAACGGGACGCCAUAGAGGGUGAGAGCCCCGUCUGGUUGGAUGCCAAAUCUCUGUAAAGCUCCUUCGACGAGUCGAGUAGUUUGGGAAUGCUGCUCUAAAUGGGAGGUAUAUGUCUUCUAAAGCUAAAUACCGGCCAGAGACCGAUAGCGCACAAGUAGAGUGAUCGAAAGAUGAAAAGCACUUUGAAAAGAGAGUUAAAAAGUACGUGAAAUUGUUGAAAGGGAAGCGUUUGUGACCAGACUUGGGCUUGGUUAAUCAUCCGGGGUUCUCCCCGGUGCACUUUUCCAGUCCAGGCCAGCAUCAGUUUUCCCCGGGGGAUAAAGGCUUUGGGAAUGUGGCUCCCUUCGGGGAGUGUUAUAGCCCAUUGCGUAAUACCCUGGGGGGGACUGAGGUUCGCGCAUCUGCAAGGAUGCUGGCGUAAUGGUCAUCAACGACCCGUCUUGAAACACGGACCAAGGAGUCGUCUUCGUAUGCGAGUGUUCGGGUGUCAAACCCCUACGCGUAAUGAAAGUGAACGCAGGUGAGAGCUUCGGCGCAUCAUCGACCGAUCCUGAUGUUCUCGGAUGGAUUUGAGUAAGAGCAUACGGGGCCGGACCCGAAAGAAGGUGAACUAUGCCUGUAUAGGGUGAAGCCAGAGGAAACUCUGGUGGAGGCUCGCAGCGGUUCUGACGUGCAAAUCGAUCGUCAAAUAUGGGCAUGGGGGCGAAAGACUAAUCGAACCUUCUAGUAGCUGGUUUCCGCCCAAUUCCCCCCCCGGAAA